UCGGCGGUUCCCUCGCUGUCCCCUCAGCGUCCCCCGCGUGUCCCCAGUACCCGGAGUGGCUGCGGCAGCACGAGGCGUCGCUGUCCCCGGAGCAGCGGCAGCGCUUCGUGGCGCAGCAGGCGCUGAUGCUGCGGAUCUGCGCGGAGCUGGAGCGGGAGCGGCCGGGGGAGCCCGAGGGGCAGCGGCGGCAGCGCUUCGAGACUCUGCUGGAGCUGAUGCAGCAGCUGCAGGACCUGGGCCACCCCCCCAAGGAGCUGGCCGGGGACACGCCCCCCGGAUUCAACCUGGAGCUGCCGGGGGGGGUCAGUGGGGAGCAGUGCCGCCUCAUGUAGGGCCCUUUUGGGAUCCCCCCGCCUCGGCCGGCCCCAAAGGAGGACGAAGAGGAGCCCGAGGGGGUCGAGACCUUCACCCCACAAACAUUUUGGGGUUUUUUUGGGGGCUGGGGGGUGCAGGGACGCCCCAUUUGGGGAGAUGUCACCCCCUCGCCCCCCACUGUGUCCCCAAUAAAGAGUUGGU